rnacentral:lncRNA from 1 species
AACGCUCCUGCCAGCUCCGCUCCUCUAGUCCAAGUCCUUUAGGUCCUGUCUGGCCACGUCACCACCUCCCCGCAACACCCCGCCCGGGAGUCCCUUUCCGGGACCCGCCACACUAUCGUGUCCUUUUGCGCCCGACGGCCCCAGAGCCCAUCUAAGAUGGGGGAAACAGAGGCCCGGAGAGAUUCUUGCCGGAGGAAUACAGCGCCUCAAAGGGCAUCUGAUGCCCUGUCCCCGUCGCUAGGCUCUGGUUCCCACUCCCUUUAUCUCCUUAACUCCCAAAAUGUGGACCGUGACUCUCCCCAGGGUGGACUGGAGCUCUGAGCUCAGUUUGCCUCACAGUCUAUCCCACUCCUGCUCUAGGACUUUUUCUCUCUCAUUUCCAGGCCACUCCCUCAAACGGCUUGCUUUACUUGCUUGGUGGGUGGGGGCCUGCCCUCGGGUUUCAUUUCACCCGGGAGGAGGUCGCAGCGCCCCCAAGUGGUCGCAGUGUCCUUAGUCGGGGUCGGGGGGUGCGGCAGGUCGGGCUGGUCCUUAGGGGUAGGACGGGGACAGGGCAUCAGAUGCCCUUUGAGGCGCUAUAUUCCCAGGCGCUGUUCCCUCUGCCUGGGAAGGCUUUCCCUGCUUUUCCUAGCUACAUCCUCCAAUUUUUUUGUAUUUUGAGACGGAGUCUCGCUCUGUCGCCCAGGCUAGAGUGCAGUGGCGCGAUCUCGGCUCCCGGCAACCUCCGCCUCCCGGGUUCGGGUUCAAGCGAUUCUCCUGCCUCAGCCUCCCGAGUAGCUGGGAUUACAGGCGCCCACCACCACGCCUGGCUAAUUUUUGUA